AACCACCUCCAACCACCUCCGACCGCCUCAGCGCCAACCCCACGCCUGGUGCGAAUUGACCCUUCGCCGCCACCCGUACCUUCGCCUCGGUAGUUUUCGGCUCCGGCCGGCCCCGUUUCCGGCUACGAGUCGCGGCGAAGGCGGAACUACGAGUUCCGGCAGCACCCGCGCGACCCCGCUGCGGUUUUCCCGGGGGCCGACGGGAGUCGGAGUUCGGGGCCGGGAGCAACCGGAAGCGGCGCCGUCUCCCGGCAGGCAGCGCGAGAAGGCGGAGGUUUGGUCACCUCUCAGCGGCCCCACCUGUCACCGGGUGGGGGCCGGGGUAGGAGCGAGCCCUGGCGCGACUUCUCGCGGGGCCGCGGACUGCAGAUCUCUCAGCCCAAGGGGGUGUCCGCUCUGUCCUUCCGCACUGGACGCGGGAAAACGGACAGCAGAUCUAAGGAGAACUGCAUUGCUAUUGAAUGAGAUUCACAAGAAGCAAACACAUGUCUGAAAGUGCUUCAAGUGCCUUCUCGCUCAAGAUUUGCUCUCCCCAAUCUGCUCCCAAUAAAGUGCCAAGGCGAGCCGCUGACUCAAAUAGCGAACCUUGCUGCCCUUUGUCAUUGGAUCCCCAACUUCAAGACUUUUCGCCUGGAUGGAGGGCAAUGGGUGAUCACCCCGAUAGGUUAGUUCUUCACAUCUAAUUAAAUUAGUCGAGUUUCUUUGUGCCUGGUGCUUCUAGGGACAAAGAAACUGCUAAAACUGCAGCUUAGAAAAGUUGAUGUCGUUAACUUCCCUGUCCCUGAAUAGGAUGGUUAUGGAUGUUCAGGAAAGCAUCCACUCUAUUGGUUUUUGAAAGCCUUGACCUGCCAGGGUUGAGACACAGCUGCAAGCAGGAAAUAAGCUCUUCUUGUUAAUUACUGUUGUGCUAAGUUUGAGCACUUGAGGUCAGAAUCUUUUAUUCAUCUUUAUAUCCCCAUUGCCUGGUAUAAUGCCUGGCAGAGAAACCAUGCUUAAUAAAUUGUGAAUGGGAA